rnacentral:rRNA from 1 species
CAGUAGCCGCGGUAAUACGUAGGGUGCGAGCGUUAAUCGGAAUUACUGGGCGUAAAGCGUGCGCAGGCGGUUGUGUAAGACAGGUGUGAAAUCCCCGGGCUUAACCUGGGAACUGCGCUUGUGACUGCACAGCUAGAGUAUGGCAGAGGGGGGUGGAAUUCCACGUGUAGCAGUGAAAUGCGUAGAGAUGUGGAUGAACACCGAUGGCGAAGGCAGCCCCCUGGGCCAAUACUGACGCUCAUGCACGAAAGCGUGGGGAGCAAACAGGAUUAGAUACCCCGGUAGUCCCUGUCUCUUAUAC